CACGUAGGGCGCAAGCGUUUGUCCGGAAUUAUUGGGCGUAAAGAGCUCGUAGGCGGUUUGUCGCGUCGUCCGUGAAAACUUGGGGCUCAACCCCAAGCUUGCGGGCGAUACGGGCAGACUUGAGUACUGCAGGGGAGACUGGAAUUCCUGGUGUAGCGGUGAAAUGCGCAGAUAUCAGGAGGAACACCGGUGGCGAAGGCGGGUCUCUGGGCAGUAACUGACGCUGAGGAGCGAAAGCGUGGGGAGCGAACAGG
rnacentral:rRNA from 1 species